UACGUAGGGGGCAAGCGUUGUCCGGAAUCAUUGGGCGUAAAGCGUGCGCAGGCGGUUUUGUAAGCCAGAUGUGAAAUCCCCGGGCUUAACCUGGGAAUGGCAUUUGGGACUGCAAGGCUUGAGUGCGGCAGAGGAGACUGGAAUUCCUGGUGUAGCAGUGAAAUGCGUAGAUAUCAGGAGGAACACCGAUGGCGAAGGCAGGUCUCUGGGCUGACACUGACGCUCAUGCACGAAAGCGUGGGGAGCAAACAGG
rnacentral:rRNA from 1 species